ACAGCCACAUCACAUUGAAGCACUGGUUCUCUAUGAUCACCAAAGUUAAGCAACAUUGAGUCUGGUCAGUACCUAGAUCGGUGACCACUUGAGAAUAUCAGGUGUUAUA